rnacentral:rRNA from 1 species
GAUGAACGCUGGCGGCGUGCCUAAUACAUGCAAGUCGAGCGAACGGACGAGAAGCUUUCUUCUCUGAUGUUAGCGGCGGACGGGUGAGUAACACGUGGAUAACCUACCUAUAAGACUGGGAUAACUUCGGGAAACCGGAGCUAAUACCGGAUAAUAUUUUGAACCGCAUGGUUCAAAAGUGAAAGACGGUCUUGCUGUCACUUAUAGAUGGAUCCGCGCUGCAUUAGCUAGUUGGUAAGGUAACGGCUUACCAAGGCAACGAUGCAUAGCCGACCUGAGAGGGUGAUCAGCCACACUGGAACUGAGACACGGUCCAGACUCCUACGGGAGGCAGCAGUAGGGAAUCUUCCGCAAUGGGCGAAAGCCUGACGGAGCAACGCCGCGUGAGUGAUGAAGGUCUUCGGAUCGUAAAACUCUGUUAUUAGGGAAGAACAUAUGUGUAAGUAACUGUGCACAUCUUGACGGUACCUAAUCAGAAAGCCACGGCUAACUACGUG